UCACUUCCUCUUAUGUUGACGUUUGAUUUACGUGAAGAAGCAGAGCCUGAUCCAUUGACUGUUUCAAAGCUGGUCGAAAAAUAUGAUGUCAUUAUCUCGAUUAAGCCGAAACCCAAGCUCUCAGUCAAAUCGGUGAACAUUCGUGGUUAUGAGCGUAAUGCUGGUAACAUCUACGAAGCCCGCCUUAUGAUCUUGGGGUGUUCAGAUGGCGAUGAGAAGGUGGUUGAUUCGAUUCCAUCAGCAUACAUAGUUACUUCAACAGAUCCUUCGUUUAGCUUCCGUCAUACUCUCUGUCAACUCAACAAUUUACUCCGUUUACCACCAAGGUGGAUUCGGUGUUACUCGUCACCCACAUCUCCAACGUCCGCAUGCUCAUCAACGUCGCCAUUGGGAUAUCACAAUAUUCAACCAAUGGCUUUGACUUACAACUGCUUCCCUCAAGGAUUUCCAACUCGACCGCCUCAGGCUUAUGGGGUUGUUCCUGGUAUUCAUCCUGCUGCUGCCCAGUUUCAGCACCGUAAUACGCUUUUGGCUAAAAAUCUGCAAGCCUUCAAUGCCUACCAGACUCAUUUGUACCCAGACGUGUACACUGACUUUCGUCAAGGCCUGGAUCGAAAUCGAGCAGUGGAGUCUCAAGCCCGACUUUUCCGUCUGGCUCCAUAAGUCCUUGUGAUUUCCCUUUCGGCCAUCAAAAUACUAUGCUGCAUGAUUUCACU